UUGACCUCGGAUCAGGUAGGGACC
rnacentral:rRNA from 1 species